AGUGAACGCUGGCGGUAGGCCUAACACAUGCAAGUCGAACGGCAGCACAGUAAGAGCUUGCUCUUACGGGUGGCGAGUGGCGGACGGGUGAGGAAUACAUCGGAAUCUACUUUUUCGUGGGGGAUAACGUAGGGAAACUUACGCUAAUACCGCAUACGACCUGCGGGUGAAAGCAGGGGAUCUUCGGACCUUGCGCGAUUGAAUGAGCCGAUGUCGGAUUAGCUAGUUGGCGGGGUAAGGGCCCACCAAGGCGACGAUCCGUAGCUGGUCUGAGAGGAUGAUCAGCCACACUGGAACUGAGACACGGUCCAGACUCCUACGGGAGGCAGCAGUGGGGAAUAUUGGACAAUGGGCGCAAGCCUGAUCCAGCCAUACCGCGUGGGUGAAGAAGGCCUUCGGGUUGUAAAGCCCUUUUGUUGGGAAAGAAAAGCAGCAGGUUAAUACCCCGCUGUUCUGACGGUACCCAAAGAAUAAGCACCGGCUAACUUCGUG
rnacentral:rRNA from 1 species